CCAGAAUUAAAGGACUGCUCUAUCAUGGCAAAGUGUGGCAUGGGCUGAAAGCGACAACAGAGCUCCCUGAUGUUAGGCUCCACAGGAGAAUACUGUUCCCCGCCUGCCUCAACCCGUCAAUCGAGGCAACAAGCAGGACUUAUAACUAACGUAACCUGACAUUUUAAAGUAGCCGGACAUAUCAAAGUAUGUGUGCAUAAAGUUAUUGCCUAGCCUAGCUUAAACGGUCACAAGCGAUAUAUGGUGGGGCUCUCUUACCAACCCCAUACAUACCACUACCUCCCCUACC